rnacentral:piRNA from 1 species
AAGGAAAACGGAACGGUGCUUCCUGCCUGU